rnacentral:rRNA from 1 species
GAAAGUAAUAAAGGGCGUAUGGGGGAUGCCUAGGCUCUUGGAGGCGAAGAAAGACGUGGUAAGCUGCGAUAAGCCUCGGGGAUUUGCAAACGAGAAUUGAUCCGAGGAUUUCUGAAUGGGACAACCCGGCAGGCAGAAGGCCUGUCACACGAAAGUGGGCCAACCCUCUGAACUGAAACAUCUUAGUAGGAGGAGGAAAAGAAAGAAACAUCGAUUUCCUAAGUAGCGGCGAGCGAACGGGAAACAGCCUAAACCACAAUUGUUACGGCAACUGUGGGGUUGUAGGACUGCAAUAUUCAAAUGACUGUGAACUGGAAUGUUCUGGAAAGUUCAUCCAUAGAGAGUGAAAGACUCGUACAGGCAAGCACGUCAGGCGAUAGCAGUAUCCUGAGUAGGGCGGGACACGAGGAAUCCUGUCUGAAUCCGCCGGGACCACCCGGUAAGGCUAAAUACUCCCAAGAGACCGAUAGUGAACCAGUACCGUGAGGGAAAGGUGAAAAGAACCCCGAACAGGGGAGUGAAAUAGAACCUGAAACCAUACGCUUACAACCUGUCGGAGCGGCUUCGUGCCGUGACGGCGUGCCUAUUGAAUAAUGAGCCUACGAGUUACUAAUCACUGGCAAGGUUAAGUGCACGGAUGCACGGAGCCGAAGCGAAAGCGAGUCUGAACAGGGCGUUUAGUCAGUGGUUGUAGACGCGAAACCUUGCGAUCUACCCUUGAGCAGGUUGAAGGUUGGGUAAAACCAACUGGAGGACCGAACGAAUAAGCGUUGAAAAGCUUCUCGAUGACUUGAGGGUAGGGGUGAAAGGCUAAUCAAGCUGGGAAAUAGCUCGUACUCCCCGAAAUGCCUUUAGGGGCAGCGUUGUAAUUGAGAGUCUACUGGAGGUAGAGCUACUGAUUGGAUGCGGGGGCUUCACCGCCUACCAAAUCCUGACAAACUCCGAAUGCCAGUAGUAUGAUUUACAGCAGUGAGCGACCGGGUGCUAAUGUCCGGUUACGAGAGUGGAACAACACAGACCAGCAACUAAGGUUCCCAAGAGUAUACUAAGUUGAUCUAACGAUGUUUUGCUGCAGAGACAGCUAGGAUGUUAGCUUGGAAGCAGCUAUUCAUUCAAAGAGUGCGUAACAGCUCACUAGUCGAGCGGCAAAGCGUGGAUAAUAAACGGGCAUCAAGUAUACCACCGAAGUUCUGGGCACGAAAGUGCGGUAGGGGAGCAUUCCAUUCCGCGUUGAAGCCGAACCGUGAGGUUUGGUGGAGUGUAUGGAAAAGCAAAUGUAGGCAUGAGUAACGAUAAUGCGGGAGAGUAACCCGCACACCGCAAGACCAAGGUUUCCUGAUCAACGCUAAUCGGAUCAGGGUUAGUCGGGUCCUAAGGGUAAGCCGAACGGUGAUCUCGAUGGAUAAUCGGUUAAUAUUCCGAUACUGACAUAUACCUCGAUGGAGAGACGAAGGAACGUAAGUGCCGCCACCUGACGGAAUAGGUGGUUAAAGGGCUUAGGUAUAGGGACAGAUUAAGAGUUAGUCCUUGCUGAAACCUGACAGUACAGAGAGCCUACGGGCAAUUUGAUAGUGCACCCAAGUCGACUUCCGAGAAAAUCUUCUAAGUUAUAGUAUAUGUCACCCGUACCGUAAACCGACACAGGUGGUCGAGGAGAGUAUCCUAAGGUGCUCGAGUGAAUCACGGUUAAGGAACUAGGCAAAUUAACCCCGUAACUUCGGGAAAAGGGGUCCCAUCGCGAGGUGGGCGCAGCGAAGAGGUCCAGGCGACUGUUUAUCAAAAACACAGGGCUCUGCAAAUUCGAAAGAAGACGUAUAGGGCCUGACACCUGCCCGGUGCUGGAAGGUUAAGAGGGGAUGUCAUCGCAAGAGAAGCAUUGAAUCGAAGCCCCAGUAAACGGCGGCCGUAACUAUAACGGUCCUAAGGUAGCGAAAUUCCUUGUC